rnacentral:tRNA from 1 species
GGAGAGGUGGCAGAGUGGUCGAAUGCGGCGGUCCCGAAAACCGUUGCCUCGCAAGGGGCCCUGGGUUCGAAUCCCAGCCUCUCCGCCA